AAUUUUUUUUUCUUUUUUUGUAGCCAUUGUACUUCGUUUUAUUUUUACUUCUUAAUAACGAUACGGUACUAUAAUAAUUUUUACGGACCAUAAAAAAUGUUGUUUGACUUAAAUACCGCAAAUAUCGUUUUUUUCAAGAUAUUACAUACAAUGAUUCACGAAAGUAUAUGAACACUUAUCGUAAAAAUCUUUUAUGUAUGUAUGCGUAACAUGUAACUUUAUAUAAUAUUUUGAGAUUUCAUUAACACUGUAUUGAGUUAUAUUGAUCAAAUUUGAGCCAUCUUAAACAAAUAAUAAAUCAUAAAGAUUGUUCCAGUGAAUGUAGAGCUUAUUAAUAUUUAUAAUGGAUAAUUGAUUACAUACGUUUGUGAUUUGUGCGAUUUGUACGAAAUAUAUAUACUUAAACUAAACGUUUUGUAAUCUUUUCAAAUUUUUUUCAGAUGCUAUCGAUAUAAUCAUGACAGUUGAGUCUCAUUACAGUAUUGAUGAAAUUUCAAAAUGUUUUAUAAAAAAUUUCUUUCAUAAGCUACUGUUUUAAUAUUAUCGUGUAAAACAAAAUUGUUUACAUAAUUAUUACAAUAAUUGCCAGGUUUUUUUCUUGUCUGUAUAUAUUUCCCGUUGUACGCUGUCCAUAGACGUACAUUGACGUGUGAGAAACUUAUUAGUAUCUAAACGUAAAAUCUGUUUUCGCUUCAGGUGUUUUUUGUAAAAUGAAAGUUGUACACGUAACGUCAUUUAACGAAACGGAAUAAAAAUAAAUGUAUUCUAUGUAGCGCCGUUCAUUCAUUGUAGCUGGAAGUAAUUGAGCGGAUUCAAUAUUAGCCUGGUCUGGUUAAGAAUAGCCACGAUGGGAAUCCCGUUUGACCACCUUGCGUGCCAGUUGCUUACUGACUAAAUUAGGGUGAAUGUUCCGUUGUGUAAAACUUAUCGUUAUUAUUUCUUUUAUCAAAUAACAAUAUUAAAUUGUCCGAUUUUAUUGUAUUGAUAAUAGAGCUGUAUUAAUAACGUGAACGUGAAAUAUAACCUAAUCGAGUAAUAAAAUUGCAAUCUAUAAAUA